rnacentral:lncRNA from 1 species
ACUUGUAUUUCCAGUCUCAGUGAAGACUUUUACCUUGUGCAACGGAAGAAUGUGGUUUGUUCGUGCUGUUUGGAGCAGACCUCAGAGCUCAAACAGUACCAGAAGGGUGAUUGUGUUCUUACUGUACUGCUUGCUGAAGAGGACAAAGUUGAAGAUGAUGUAGUUUUUUACUUGGUAUUUUCAGGCUCCACCCUUCAUCAUUGUGCAAGUACUCGCAAAGUCAGUUCUGACACACUGGAAACCAUUGCUCCUGGUCAUGACUGCUGUGAGACAGUGAAGGUACAGCUCUGUGCUUCCAAGGAGGGCCUUCCCACAUUUGUGGUGGCUGAAGAAGACUUCAGUUUUGUCCAGGAUGAGGCAUAUGAUGCAGCUCAAUUCCUGGCAACUAGUGCUGGAAACCAGCAAGCUCUGAACUUCACUCGUUUUCUUGACCAUUCAGGACCCCCAUCUGGAGAUGUGAAUUCCCUUGAUGAGAAGGUCUCACUGGCUUUCAGACAUCUGAAGCUGCCAGCAGAGUGGAAUGUAUUGGGGACAGAUCAGACUUUGCAUGAUGGUGGUCCCCGGGAGACAUUGAUGCAUUUUGCUGUGCGGCUGGGACUGCUGCGGUUGACAUGGUUCCUAUUGCAAAAACCUGGUGGCCGCGGAGCUCUGAGUGUCCACAACCAGGAAGGGGCAACACCUGUGAGCUUGGCUUUGGAGCGAGGUUAUCACAAGCUGCACCAGCUUCUAACUGAGGAGAAUGCUGGGGAACCAGACUCCUGGAGCAGUUUAUCCUAUGAAAUCCCGUGUGGAGACUGUUUGGUGAGGCAUCAUCGGGAGCUGGACAUCUAUACUUUGACCUCUGAGUCAGAAUCCAACUGUGAAUCCCCAUUUCCUGGAAACAGUUGCUCUGGACAUAUUUUAAAACUUAUGAACAUUCAACAGCAACUAAUGGUAAGGAAGAUGGAUUUCAUUUUCAGCUGUGCAUGUGUGUGUGUAUGUGUCUAUCUUGCCUAAUGAACUAGCCAUACUUAGAAUAUAAAAAUGCUUCUACCACAGAUCAUGAAGCCUGUAAAGUAGUAUUAGUACUAGUAGAUGUCAGCACGUAAAAUAUAACCUAGCAUAAAGAUUGUAGUGGGCAGCUGAGAUUUUUAAAUUGAUUUUUGCCAUAUUUUUUA